CGUUUAUGACAACGGGUGCCACUGCGGUUACAAGACCACCGGCGCUGUAAAACGAGGAAGAAGUUAACGAAAAAAAAAACAGGGCAAACGAGAGAAGAAUUUAAAAUGGCGCUUUGAGUGAAACUAGGCGCGCGAAAACGUCAAGAAUAAAAAGAUAAGCGUUGGACGUUGGAAUGCACAAUAGAAUCAACGUGACCUCUCAACCGCGAUAAGGCGUCCACGUUCAACAUUUCGAAGCGCUAAAAUGUGAAUCACGCCGAAGUGCGCGAUUUCUGAUCUGAUUACGAAAGCCCGAAAGUAUCGUCGAAGACGAGUAAUCGAGGCAAGAAGGACUCCAUCGUGGAGUAACGUUGCAAAGUUUCAGUUAAAUCCAACUCCCUUACAGAUUUCCUUAUGUCCGUUCUACACCUACUCUGGGGAAAAAAGUCAGUUACAACCCAUUUUGGGGCCCACAUUUAGGAAUCGAAUUAUUUAG